UACGAAGGGGGCUAGCGUUGUUCGGAAUUACUGGGCGUAAAGGGCGCGUAGGCGGUACUUCAAGUCAGGCGUGAAGGCCCCGGGCUCAACCUGGGAACCGCGCUUGAGACUGGAGAACUAGAGUUCGGGAGAGGAUGGUGGAAUUCCCAGUGUAGAGGUGAAAUUCGUAGAUAUUGGGAAGAACACCGAUGGCGAAGGCAGCCAUCUGGACCGACACUGACGCUGAGGCGCGAAAGCGUGGGGAGCAAACAGG
rnacentral:rRNA from 1 species